rnacentral:rRNA from 1 species
GAUGAACGCUGGCGGCGUGCCUAAUACAUGCAAGUCGAGCGAACAGACGAGGAGCUUGCUCCUUUGACGUUAGCGGCGGACGGGUGAGUAACACGUAGGUAACCUACCUAUAAGACUGGGAUCACUUCGGGAAACCGGAGCUAAUACCGGAUAAUAUUUCGAACCGCAUGGUUCGAUAGUGAAAGAUGGCUUUGCUAUCACUUAUAGCUGGACCUGCGCCGUAUUAGCUAGUUGGUAAGGUAACGGCUUACCAAGGCAACGAUACGUAGCCGACCUGAGAGGGUGAUCGGCCACACUGGAGCUGAGACACGGUCCAGACUCCUACGGGAGGCAGCAGUAGGGAAUCUUCCGCAAUGGGCGAAAGCCUGACGGAGCAACGCCGCGUGAGUGAUGAAGGUCUUCGGAUCGUAAAACUCUGUUAUUAGGGAAGAACAAACGUGUAAGUAACUGUGCACGUCUUGACGGUACCUAAUCAGAAAGCCACGGCUAACUACGUG